GAUGAACGCUAGCGACAGGCCUAACACAUGCAAGUCGAGGGGUAGCAGGAUGUAGCAAUACAUCGCUGACGACCGGCGCACGGGUGAGUAACGCGUAUGCAACCUACCUUCUACAGGGGGAUAGCCCGGAGAAAUCCGGAUUAAUACCCCAUAAAACAGGGACUCCGCAUGGAGAUAUUUGUUAAAGAUUAAUCGGUAGAAGAUGGGCAUGCGUUCCAUUAGCCAGGUGGUGAGGUAACGGCACACCAAAGCAACGAUGGAUAGGGGAACUGAGAGGCUUAUCCCCCACACUGGAACUGAGACACGGACCAGACUCCUACGGGAGGCAGCAGUGAGGAAUAUUGGUCAAUGGGCGCGAGCCUGAACCAGCCAAGUCGCGUGAAGGAAGACUGCCUUAUGGAUUGUAAACUUCUUUUAUAUGAGAAUAAAAAGAGUUACGUGUAACUUAUUGCAGGUAUCAUAUGAAUAAGCAUCGGCUAACUCCGUGCCAGCCGCCGCCGUAA
rnacentral:rRNA from 1 species